rnacentral:lncRNA from 1 species
AAGUGCUCAGUGCAAGCCAUGGAUGAGAAGAAAUGAAUUGAUUUUCCUAUUUCUUUAAUGGCCUGCCAGAUUAUGCUAAAAGAAGAAGAGUGAAACUGAGGAUAGAGAAAGAUUCUGAGUGCUCAAAGGAAAGGUAAGGAACCAAGAGGGACCAUGCAGAAGGCGGGAGCAAGAGUCAGAAGGAGCAGAGAAGAGAGAAGAAAACAACAACAACAACAACAACAACCCAGGGGGCUGGAGAGAUGGAUCAGCAGUUGAGAGCACUAGGUACUCUUCCAGAGGACCCUGGUUCAGUUCCCAGCAGCCACAUGGAAGCUCACAACGGUCUGCAACUCCUGCUCUAGGGGAUCUGACCCCUCCCACAGGCAGACAAACAUGCAUGCAAAGCAUCGAUGUCAUGAAAUAAAAAUAAGUUAUAAAAAUAAAAGAGAGAGACUCAAAAUAAAGGGUCUGUUUGAAAACUAUAAGCAUUUGCCAUAAAUGUAGAACCUUUGCAAAAUGUAGUGACUCUGGCCUUUAUACAAAAAUUGAGAAACUGAGGCAGGAGAGUUGCAAAAUAAAUAUUUCAAGUUUAUCCUGAACAUUUUUAAAGGGCUUUUUACAAAAACAAACUGUAAAUAAUACACUAAUACUUAAUUAAACUAUAAAAUUUAACUUUUAACAUCUGCAGUUAAUAGUACUAUAGGCUAAAAUAUGAUAGAAUCCGUAGUUACAUGACCGUAUUGUGUACUUUUGUUUAUCUUGUUGUAUUCUGGGAAUGCUAGGCAAGAUUGUUACCACUAAACCACCCUCUCUAGCAUUUUUGGUUUAUUUUAUUCAAAGCUAUGAAAACAACUCUUCUACAGAACUCUGUUUUUAUUUAUAACAAAAGUAAUUUUUGUUUACACUCAGUUUAUUGCUGGGGAAAAUAAUAUCAAUUGAUUGUUUUACCCAUGGAUACAUCUUUCAGUGUGGAUAAGGGAUUCAAGCAACACUGCUUUGCAUUGAACAAAGAAAGAUCAGGCUAGGUGAUAGUUCAUAGGAACUCUUAGGUUGGUCACUACAGAGCCACAAACUUCAAUAUUUAUGUCUCUGUUUCACUGUAGCUAUGUUUAACAUAUCCAUAAAAGAUGCUUUGAUUAUUGAAUUGCUGGGCACAUGAGAGUACUGCACCAUAUGCUAGACUUCAUGCAUCACUGUCCACCUUUCCCUGUCUCUGGAGGCAUCUUGGGUGGCUAAUAAGCAGAGGCCUACGUAAGGGAUGAGACUCUACUGAUGGAUCUGUAUAGCCAUCCCAGUUACUUUUCUCUCUAACAAAAUGACUGACCGGAAUCUAGUAAUCAAGCUAGCCUGGGGAAGGUCUUUGGAAUCUUCUAUAAUUCUGACUGAGAUGUCCUUACUUCCUAGCACCCCAGCAAAUAACCUAGGGAAAACUGAGCUCUAAGAUUCUCAUAGGGCACAUAGACCAAAUGAUAAGAAACUCCAGAUCUCACCCUGCUCCUGAUAGCUAAGAGGCACAGGUUUGGAGGUCUGCUAGUGUAGACUACCCUUCAGGGAGAAGAUUCACAUUCCAAAAGUAUAGAUUUUUGCCCCAUUGAGGAAAAGUGUUUUCUUGAUUGUAUCUAUUCUUUUUUUCUCUGUCAUACCCUAAUUCUGGUUGCUGUGUUUCUUCCCUUUCUUUUUUCCUUAGUUCAACUGUCAACAUCUCAGAGAAGCAUUCCUGACCACAAAGGCAUUUGGCUUUGCCUUAGGAGUCUCCAAAUUAGACUUUGAUUAUUCUCCAAACCCUCAAAAAACAUUGCAGUAGUUUAUUUAUUUGUUUUCUGUCUGUUACUUUCAGUGGCGUGUAAGCACUGUGCAGGAAAAUUUCAUCCAAAUGAAACAUACUCAGAUUUUACACUGGAAUGAAAUAGCUGGCCUCCCAAAUAAAAUAUUAACUGAAUACAUAGAUAAAUGGCUCCAUGGAGGUAACAAGAAGAAUGGGCAAACCGGUGUGCAAGCAAGAUGUGAUGGAAAGAGUUUUGAUUGGAAGAGUAGAGUCUAAUAACUUCAUUUUAUUAAUUAAAUUGGCUAAUAGAAUGGAGAGUGAAUAAAAAGAGCCUGUGACACAAAUACUCUAAACUUCUCUUUAAGUUACAUAGAAAAGAAUUUCUAUUUCAAAUGUCUGACGUUUCAUACCAAACACCCAUACAUUAUUUCAGUUCUAUCUGGAGUAAGAAACAGACAAAUGGACCACAUUUUCUUAACAAAGAAAUUUAGAAAAUCCAGGGACAAAUGUGCAUUAGCAACUUCAAUGUAACCAAAGACUGGAGACUGCUGGCAUUGCCCCUAGGACCAGCUUUGGACCAGCCACAUGCUAAUUAGAGUGGCUACCUACACAUUGACUUGACUGCCAGCUUCAUCUUUAAUUAUGAGAAUACUCCUGAACAUUUACAGAAACUUGAACCCAUAGCACUGUACAUUUAUUUAUCUAAAAAAUUGGAGAGAAAGAUAAGUGUUAAGAUUCCUCAGAGAAACACAGCUAAUAUAUACGUGGAUGGUACUAUUUAACAUUGUGUCUCUGACAAUUAAAAUUAAUUUUAAAAAUCUAUUAUGCUCUAUGAUGCAGAGCAGACUUCUCAAUCAAAAUCAUAAGCAGAACUAGAAUGGUUUAAACUAUAUUUGAAACUGUAUAGAAUUUCUAUCUUUAAAUGUAGGGUUUCUUAAGAUACCGAAAACAAAUGAAAUAUAAAUUGGGAACCGAGUACAUUCUAGAAUAAUUAGUUAUAAUACUAACCUACCAUUUAGCUUUCUUCCCUACUAGGAAAAAAUAGCUUUUCAUUCAAGUUGCUAUAACCAGUGGCUCUAGUCACUGUGUUCUAUAUCAUAUUAAUAUCCUUCACACCCUUUGUUAACAAAAAAAUAACAUGGUCCCCCAAAACACUCCACAUACCUAUAGAUUAAGUGAUUGUGAAAGCUGGGUUUUACCCAAAGCAAGCUUUGGUCAUUAUGAUUCAUUUUUACAUGCUAAUUUUUCUAUGUUGUUAACUUCCUUUUUAAAAUUGUUACAAAACCUCAUACAUUAUAUAUAUAAUUGUAUCAAAAAACAUCCUAUUGCCAUGUAAAUUGGAUUGUCAAGUAAAAUGUAAUAAUCUUUGACCUCACCCCAGCCAUUGACAUCAAUUUAAAAAAAUAUAUGCCUACAGGCUUUUAAACCAUACAACGUCCUAAUGUAAAGAACAUUACAUUUUCUUUAGAAAAUCCCCUGUUACAAAGCUCUUACUACCUGUUUACUGAGUACAAAUUGUGAUCGCUGUUACUCACUUUUAAAAGCCCAUGCAUAUACAUGUGCACAUAUAUGUAUACAUAUAUAGCCUACAAUUAAGUAUAGUGAUGGUAUUAUUUUG